CUUGUAAACAAACGUGCCGGGCCAAUAUGGAGAAAUUUUGUGAUUGUAUUUGUAUAUUUGUGUGAUGUUUCUGUGACUGUUUUUGGGUGAAAUGGCUUCUGUGCAGCCUGUCAACGAAACAACAAAGCCAGUGGCUAGUUCAACAGACUCGGGAGACGAGAGUGAUGUUAGUGAUGCUUAUGAUGAUGUGAUAGAAAUCAGUCCGUGUAGAAGAUGGGAAAAACGACGAAUUGAGGU